GAUGAACGCUGGCGGCGUGCUUAACACAUGCAAGUCGAACGAUGAAGCCCAGCUUGCUGGGUGGAUUAGUGGCGAACGGGUGAGUAACACGUGAGUAACCUGCCCUUAACUCUGGGAUAAGCCUGGGAAACUGGGUCUAAUACCGGAUAGGAGCGUCCACCGCAUGGUGGGUGUUGGAAAGAUUUAUCGGUUUUGGAUGGACUCGCGGCCUAUCAGCUUGUUGGUGAGGUAAUGGCUCACCAAGGCGACGACGGGUAGCCGGCCUGAGAGGGUGACCGGCCACACUGGGACUGAGACACGGCCCAGACUCCUACGGGAGGCAGCAGUGGGGAAUAUUGCACAAUGGGUGAAAGCCUGAUGCAGCGACGCCGCGUGAGGGAUGACGGCCUUCGGGUUGUAAACCUCUUUCAGUAGGGAAGAAGCGAAAGUGACGGUACCUGCAGAAGAAGUACCGGCUAACUACGUG
rnacentral:rRNA from 1 species